rnacentral:lncRNA from 1 species
CCCUGGCUCGAGAGCCUAUCGACCUCAUGGUUGGAAUCUUAUUGACCACAUAGGAUGAGAUUUUGUGAUCGACAUCGAUGAUGAUACAUCUGAACCAAAACCUCGAUUGUGCGCCGACUUUAGACCGGCCUAUUCACUCACAUGGAUCAUCAUCAGGAAUAUUCUAACGAACCAUCAGAAUGUGGCUACUACUCAUGACUAACAACCUUCGAUUUGCAGGUUUCCUAUCCUAAUCGUUUGGUAGUGUGGCC